ensembl:snRNA U1 U1 spliceosomal RNA
AUACUUACCUGGCAGGGGAGAUACCAUGAUCACGAAGGUGGUUUUCCCAGAGCGAGGCUUAUCCAUUGCACUCCUUGCAUUGGGGGAGGAUGGGGAGGGGAACACCCAUAAAGAAGGGGAGGGGGAGGGAUUAGGGGGAUGUUUGCCC